CGCGGUAAUACGAAGGGUGCAAGCGUUACUCGGAAUUACUGGGCGUAAAGCGUGCGUAGGUGGUUUGUUAAGUCUGAUGGUGAAAGGCCGGGGCUCAACCCCGAGCAAGCCGGGGAUACUGGGGGGCUGGAGACAGGCAGAGGCCAGCGGAAUUCCGGGUGUAGCGGUGGAAUGCGUAGAGAUCCGGAAGAACACCGGAGGCGAAGGCGGCUGGCUGGGCCUGAUCUGACGCUGAGGUGCGAAAGCGUGGGGAGCGAACAGG
rnacentral:rRNA from 1 species